rnacentral:rRNA from 1 species
GUUAGGAAUAUUGGACAAUGGGCGAAAGCCUGAUCCAGCCAUGCCGCGUGAACGAUGAAGGCCUUCGGGUUGUAAAGUUCUUUAGCCGAUGAUUAUAAUGACUGUAGUCGGAAAAUAAGCCCCGGCUAACUUCGUGCCAGCAGCCGCGGUAAUACGAAGGGGGCGAGCGUUAUUCGGAAUCACUGGGCGUAAAGCGUGCGUAGGCGGUUUUGUAAGUUAGGAGUGAAAGCCCAGGGCUCAACCUUGGAAUUGCUCUUAAAACUGCAAGGUUAGAAUCUCGGAGAGGAUAGCGGAAUUUCCAGUGUAGCAGUGAAAUGCGUAGAUAUUGGAAGGAACACCAGUGGCGUAAGCGGCUAUCUGGACGAGUAUUGACGCUGAGGCACGAAAGCGUGGGGAUCAAACAGGAUUAGAUACCCCAGUAGUCC